CUCUUUCGGCAGGGACGAUAAUGACGGUACCUGCAGAAGAAGCUGCGGCUAACUACGUGCCAGCAGCCGCGGUAAUACGUAGGCGGCGAGCGUUGUUCGGAAUUACUGGGCGUAAAGAGUGUGUAGGCGGUGCUCUAAGUUCGGUGUGAAAUCUCCUGGCUUAACUGGGAGGGUGCGCCGGAAACUGGAAUGCUCGAACGUGGGAGAGGAAAGCGGAAUUCCUGGUGUAGCGGUGAAAUGCGUAGAUAUCAGGAGGAACACCUGCGGUGUAGACGGCUUUCUGGACCAUUGUUGACGCUGAGACACGAAAGCGUGGGUAGCAAACAGGAUUAGAUACCCUGGUAGUCCACGCCCUAAACGAUGCAUACUUGGUGUCGGCCAUUCAGUUGGUCGGUGCCGGAGCUAACGCGUUAAGUAUGCCGCCUGGGGAGUACGGUCGCAAGGCUGAAACUCAAAGGAAUUGA
rnacentral:rRNA from 1 species